rnacentral:lncRNA from 1 species
CUACGUGCUGCCUGGCAUGUGCACUCUGCCAGGUCCCUGGAGGGCACUGCUGUCUCUCACUUGCUCAGGGUUCAGGAGUUGUUAAUCCCGGAUUCAGAUAAUAAUAUCCAAAGGCAAUCAGGGGACAUUGAACCAGCUGGAGCUGAAGGCUCCUCUCUGUGGGCCAUGGAAGGAGGGGCCUCUGCAUUCCUCUGCCUGCCAUAGGCUGGGCCUGCAGCAAGUGCUCAACUACAGUGGGAAGAAUGGCUGAGUGAAGGAGAGAUCCUCCCAGACUACAGUAAGUUCCUCUGCUGAUAGACUCCUUCCUAAUCCCCCUGCCCCACUCCCCACACCCACUUUGAGAGGCAUGCAGCCAUGGACCACUGAGAGUGGGAUUUCAAACACGAGUGAUGAAAGUGAUGUUAGGAAAGAGGAGGAGCUACAGUGGAGUCCUGCAAAGUA